CCAGGGGCUCACGCGCCCUGGCUAAUAACGGUCGUCCCUUUGGGACU
rnacentral:sRNA from 1 species